rnacentral:rRNA from 1 species
UAAAGAUUUUAAGGGCGUACGGUGGAUGCCUUGGCGAUAUCAGCCGAAGAAGGACGCGGUAAGCUGCGAUAAGCUACGGAGAGGUGCAAGCAACCUGUGACCCGUAGAUUUCCGAAUGGGGGAACCCGGCAGUGGUUAUGCACUGUCACCCAUAGCUUAGACUAUGAGGAGGGCACCUGGGGAACUGAAACAUCUAAUUACCCAGAGGAACAGUAAUCAAACGAGAUUUUCUUAGUAGCGGCGAGCGAACGGGAAAGAGGCCAAACCGGAGCGGGCAACCGCACCGGGGUUGAGGACAGUCAUCAAGUGUAAAUGAGGUAGAAGAAUCGAGCUGGAAAGCUCAGCCGCAGAAGGUGAAAGCCCUGUAAUCGAAACCUUGCAUACAUGGGACUGUAUCCAGAGUACCACGAGACACGUGAAACCUUGUGGGAAGCAGGGGGGACCACCCUCCAAGCCAAAAUACUGAUAUCGACCGAUAGCGCAUAGUACCGUGAGGGAAAGGUGAAAAGAACCCCUGGCGGGGAGUGAAAGAGAACCUGAAACCGUAUGUCUACAAACAGUCGAAGUCUGUAUAUAUAUCAGGACGACGGCGUGCCUAUUGAAGAAUGAACCGACGAGUUACUGUUGCUAGCGAGGUUAAGUGGAAAACAUGGAGCCGCAGCGAAAGCGAGUCUGAACAGGGCGUUCAGUUAGUAAUAGUAGACCCGAAACCGUAGUGAUCUAUCCAUGGCCAGGUUGAAGCACAGGUAAAAUUGUGUGGAGGACCGAACUCGUGAGCGUUGAAAAGCUUUGGGAUGAGUUGUGGAUAGGGGUGAAAUGCCAAUCGAACACGGAGAUAGCUGGUUCUCCCCGAAAUAGCUUUAGGGCUAGCCUCGAGGUAGAGAGUAUAGGCGGUAGAGCACUGAUCGGGCUAGGGGCCAUACCGGUUACCGAACCUAGUCAAACUACGAAUGGCUAUACUUAUACUCGGGAGUCAGACAGUGAAUGAUAAGGUCCAUUGUCAAGAGGGAAACAGCCCAGAACACCGACUAAGGUCCCCAAUGUUACACUAAGUGGCGAAGGAUGUGGAAUUUCCAAAACAACCAGGAUGUUGGCUUAGAAGCAGCCACCAUUUAAAGAGUGCGUAAUAGCUCACUGGUCGAGAGACUCUGCGCCGAAAAUGUCCGGGGCUAAAGUGUAAAACCGAAGUCGUGUCAUAUGCAGCAAUGUAUAUGGGUAGGGGAGCGUUCUCAUCGGGCUGAAGCAGUACCGUAAGGAGUUGUGGACUGAUGAGAAGUGAGAAUGUCGGUAUGAGUAGCGAAAAGAAUGGUGAGAAUCCAUUCCACCGAAAGCCUAAGGGUUCCUGAGCAACGAUCGUCGUCUCAGGGUAAGUCGGGACCUAAGCCGAGGCGGAAAAGCGUAGGCGAUGGACAACAGGUUGAAAUUCCUGUACCGGUGUGAAUCGUUUGAUCGAUGGAGUGACACAGUAAGGUAGGUCAGCACGCGAUUGGAAGUGCGUGUUUAAGCAUGUAGGUUGAGCUAUAGGCAAAUCCGUAGCUCUAAAAGCUGAGAUGUGAUGACGAGUGACUAGCAAUAGUCGCGAAGUGAUUGAUCCUACACUGUCGAGAAAAGCUUCUAGGUAGAGACACAUCGCCCGUACCGAAAACCGACACAGGUAGGCGGGGAGAGAAUCCUAAGGUGCGCGGGAAAACCCUCGUUAAGGAACUCGGCAAAAUGCCUCCGUAACUUCGGGAAAAGGAGGACUCAUGUAGUGUGAAGUGCAGCAACGCAUGGAGCAUGAAUGAGUGGCACAAGAGAGGCGCAAGCGACUGUUUACCACAAACACAGGUGCCUGCUAAAGCGAAAGCUGAUGUAUAGGUGCUGACACCUGCCCGGUGCUGGAAGGUUAAGAGGAGGGGUUAGACUUUGGUCGAAGCUCUGAAUUGAAGCCCCAGUAAACGGCGGCCGUAACUAUAACGGUCCUAAGGUAGCGAAAUUCCUUGUCGGGUAAGUUCCGACCCGCACGAAAGGUGUAACGACUUGCGCACUGUCUCAACGAGGGACCCGGUGAAAUUGAAGUACCUGUGAAGAUGCAGGUUACCCGCGACUGGACAGAAAGACCCCAUGGAGCUUUACUGCAACCUAAGAUUGAACUUAGUUAAUGAAUGUACAGGAUAGGUGGGAGACGUAGAACCUAGGACGCCAGUUUUAGGGGAGUCGCUGUUGGGAUACCACCCUUUCAUUAAUUGAUUUCUAACGGGCCGAGUAACGACCGGCCGGACAGUCUUAGGCGGGCAGUUUGACUGGGGCGGUCGCCUC